AGGCCGAUAGUUCAGUUGGAUAGAAUGCCCGGCUACGGACCGGGUGGUCGUGCGUUCGAAUCCUGCUCGGCCUA
rnacentral:tRNA from 1 species